rnacentral:rRNA from 1 species
CCUACGGGAGGCAGCAGUGAGGAAUAUUGGUCAAUGGACGAGAGUCUGAACCAGCCAAGUAGCGUGAAGGAUGAAUGCCCUAUGGGUUGUAAACUUCUUUUAUCAAGGAAUAAAACGAGGCACGUGUGCCCUUUUGCAUGUACUUUAUGAAUAAGGAUCGGCUAACUCCGUGCCAGCAGCCGCGGUAAUACGGAGGAUCCGAGCGUUAUCCGGAUUUAUUGGGUUUAAAGGGAGCGUAUAUGGGUUGUUAAGUCAGUUGUGCAAGGUUGCGGCUCAACCGUAAAAUUGCAAUUGAUACUGGCAGUCUUGAGUACAGUUGAGGUAAGCGGAAUUCGUGGUGUAGCGGUGAAAUGCUUAGAUAUCACGAAGAACCCCGAUUGCGAAGGCAGCUUACUAAACUGUGACUGACAUUGAGGCUCGAAAGUGUGGGUAUCAAACAGGAUUAGAUACCCUAGUAGUC